rnacentral:rRNA from 1 species
AGUGAACGCUGGCGGUAGGCCUAACACAUGCAAGUCGAACGACAGCACAGUAAGAGCUUGCUCUUACGGGUGGCGAGUGGCGGACGGGUGAGGAAUACAUCGGAAUCUACUUUUUCGUGGGGGAUAACGUAGGGAAACUUACGCUAAUACCGCAUACGACCUACGGGUGAAAGCAGGGGAUCUUCGGACCUUGCGCGAUUGAAUGAGCCGAUGUCGGAUUAGCUAGUUGGCGGGGUAAAGGCCCACCAAGGCGACGAUCCGUAGCUGGUCUGAGAGGAUGAUCAGCCACACUGGAACUGAGACACGGUCCAGACUCCUACGGGAGGCAGCAGUGGGGAAUAUUGGACAAUGGGCGCAAGCCUGAUCCAGCCAUACUGCGUGGGUGAAGAAGGCCUUCGGGUUGUAAAGCCCUUUUGUUGGGAAAGAAAAGCAGCAGGUUAAUACCCCGCUGUUCUGACGGUACCCAAAGAAUAAGCACCGGCUAACUUCGUG